UACGUAGGGUCCGAGCGUUAAUCGGAAUUACUGGGCGUAAAGCGUGCGCAGGUGGUUUUGUAAGCCAGAUGUGAAAUCCCCGGGCUCAACCUGGGAACUGCAUUUGGGACUGCAAGGCUAGAGUACGGCAGAGGGGGGUAGAAUUCCUGGUGUAGCAGUGAAAUGCGUAGAUAUCAGGAGGAAUACCGAUGGCGAAGGCAGCCCCCUGGGUCGAUACUGACGCUCAUGCACGAAAGCGUGGGGAGCAAACAGG
rnacentral:rRNA from 1 species